rnacentral:rRNA from 1 species
GACGAACGCUGGCGGCGUGCUUAACACAUGCAAGUCGAACGGAAAGGCCCUGCUUGCAGGGUACUCGAGUGGCGAACGGGUGAGUAACACGUGGGUGAUCUGCCCUGCACUUCGGGAUAAGCUUGGGAAACUGGGUCUAAUACCGGAUAGGAACCAUCUUUAGUGUGGUGGUUGGAAAGUUUUUUCGGUGUAGGAUGAGCUCGCGGCCUAUCAGCUUGUUGGUGGGGUAAUGGCCUACCAAGGCGGCGACGGGUAGCCGGCCUGGGAGGGUGUACGGCCACAUUGGGACUGAGAGACGGCCCAGACUCCUACGGGAGGCAGCAGGGGGGAAUAUUGCACAAUGGGCGCAAGCCGGAUGCAGAGACGCCGCGUGGGGGAUGAAUGGCUUCGGGUUGUAAACUCCUUUCGCUAGGGACGAAGCUUUUUGUGACGGUACCUAGAUAAGAAGCACCGGCUAACUACGUG